GGGGAUUUAGCUCAGUGGUAGAGCGCUUACCUAGAAAGUGCAAGGCCCUGGGUUCGGUCCCCAGCUCCG
rfam:Rattus norvegicus chromosome 3, whole genome shotgun sequence.